AACAGAAGUGGAGGAUGAAGAUGUAACUGGCUGCCUGGACAACUACUGCAAUGGGAGGCUGUGCUAGAGCUGUUCAGAAGCCAGUGAUUUGGGUUGCCUUAACUUUGAAAGCUGCCUCUGCAGUGAAUGUAUGGUCUGGUGACAGCUGAGUGCGGUGCUAUGGUGACCAGGAGCUCUCAGCGAGGCACCACAGGGCAGGAGGCUGACAGUCACCUACAGACACGCUCCCUCAAGAACACAUGCAUGCAACAUGCAGCUGCAAUGGAAAUGGAAGUACACCUGUGCGCAUCACCACUGGCUGCUGCAAGCUGUUUGAGCUCCUGUGACACUGAUGAGGGGAUGUCUCUGUGCCUUCAUCACCAAGCUAUUAAAGGCAAGCUUUUUUUUUCUUUCUAUUGUAAUCCCAACAAAACACCUAAAGUAGCCUCAAUAACAAUGAAGUUAGACAUUCAGUACAUCGGAAUAUUUUAUUUUCACUUUACAUGCGGUGUUAAAAACCCAAAGAACGUAUUAUUUACACAUCCACAAUACAAGUUUACAAGAUAUCUAUACAUGUUAAAGUACUCUAUAGUAUAGAGCAGCUUCAUUUAAGGGUUACUUUUUUAUGCCGUACCAUUAAAAAAGAUACAAUCUGCGUUUACCUUUGCACAAAUGGAUAAAGCAUCUUUUAUUAUUAAAUUAACAGAAUAAAGACUAGGUUGAAUGUUAGAAAUUUCA
rnacentral:lncRNA from 1 species